UACGAAGGGUGCAAGCGUUAAUCGGAAUUACUGGGCGUAAAGCGUGCGCAGGCGGCCCGUUAAGACAGGUGUGAAAUCCCUGGGCUCAACCUAGGAAUUGCGCUUGUGACUGGCGGGCUCGAGUACGGUAGAGGGGGGUGGAAUUCCUGGUGUAGCAGUGAAAUGCGUAGAGAUCAGGAGGAACACCGAUGGCGAAGGCAGCCCCCUGGGCCUGUACUGACGCUCAUGCACGAAAGCGUGGGGAGCAAACAGG
rnacentral:rRNA from 1 species